rnacentral:rRNA from 1 species
UUACCAUGCAGUCGAACGGUCUCUUCGGAGGCAGUGGCAGACGGGUGAGUAAUGCAUGGGAAUCUACCGUUCUCUACGGAAUAACUCAGGGAAACUUGUGCUAAUACCGUAUACGCCCUUUUGGGGAAAGAUUUAUCGGAGAAUGAUGAGCCCAUGUUG